UGGGGAAUAUUGGACAAUGGGCGAAAGCCUGAUCCAGCCAUGCCGCGUGUGUGAAGAAGGUCUUCGGAUUGUAAAGCACUUUAAGUUGGGAGGAAGGGCAGUAAGCGAAUACCUUGCUGUUUUGACGUUACCGACAGAAUAAGCACCGGCUAACUCUGUGCCAGCAGCCGCGGUAAUACAGAGGGUGCAAGCGUUAAUCGGAAUUACUGGGCGUAAAGCGCGCGUAGGUGGUUCGUUAAGUUGAAUGUGAAAGCCCCGGGCUCAACCUGAGAACUGCAUCCAAAACUGGCGAGCUAGAGUAGGGCAGAGGGUGGUGGAAUUUCCUGUGUAGCGGUGAAAUGCGUAGAUAUAGGAAGGAACACCAGUGGCGAAGGCGACCACCUGGGCUCAUACUGACACAGAGGUGCGAAAGCGUGGGAGGCAAACAGG
rnacentral:rRNA from 1 species